GGACCCGAUACAACUUGAUAGGUCGAGUCUAGGACCAAGUGACUUGGACUUGACUGCAGUCAGAUUGGGCCAGUGUCAAGAUCAACCCGGAUCACUCCCAACCCAUUUACAUCACUAUAACCAAUGGCCUGCCAGAAGGCGACUUAAUGCGCAAUUUUGACUCGAAUCUAAGACUCAAGGUUUGUUAUCAAAUGAUCGGGUUUAAUUGGUUAAUUGGUUAGCGCUUGAUGAUUUACAAUGCUACGUCCUAAACUCAAUUCCUAUUAGGUUAUAUGCCCUCUCCACUGACUCAUCCAAAAAAAAUGACUUACUGCUAGUUGACUUUGGCUUUUUUUAAGUUGUAAUGAGCAAGGGCUUGUUUCAUAAUCAUUGCAGGUAACAAAUUGUGCCACGGGCGCAUGUCAUGCAUCUUAGGUUUCCCUCGAACAAGGAUUGAGAAACAGCACAUCCAUGUAGCCAAG
rnacentral:lncRNA from 1 species